rnacentral:rRNA from 1 species
AGCAGUAGCCACGGUAAAACGUAGGUGGCAAGCGUUGUCCGGAAUUAUUGGGCGUAAAGGGCUCGCAGGCGGUUUCUUAAGUCUGAUGUGAAAGCCUCCGGCUCAACCGGGGAGGGUCAUUGGAAACUGGGAAACUUGAGUGCAGAAGAGGAGAGUGGAAUUCCACGUGUAGCGGUGAAAUGCGUAGAGAUGUGGAGGAACACCAGUGGCGAAGGCGACUCUCUGGUCUGUAACUGACGCUGAGGAGCGAAAGCGUGGGGAGCGAACAGGAUUAGAUACCCGUGUAGUCCCUGUCUCUUAUAC